rnacentral:rRNA from 1 species
AACGAACGCUGGCGGCAUGCCUAACACAUGCAAGUCGAACGGGAUCCUGGUUUCGGCCAGGUGAGAGUGGCGGACGGGUGAGUAACGCGUGGGAACCUGCCCAGUGGUGGGGGAUAACUGCGGGAAACUGCAGCUAAUACCGCAUGAGCCCGAAAGGGGAAAGAUUGAUCGCCAUUGGAGGGGCCCGCGUUCGAUUAGGUAGUUGGUGAGGUAACGGCUCACCAAGCCUUCGAUCGAUA